rnacentral:rRNA from 1 species
GACGAACGCUGGCGGCGUGCUUAACACAUGCAAGUCGAACGGUAAGGCCCUUCGGGGUACACGAGUGGCGAACGGGUGAGUAACACGUGGGUGAUCUGCCCUGCACUUCGGGAUAAGCCUGGGAAACUGGGUCUAAUACCGGAUAGGACUCCUGGCUUCAUGGUUGGGGGUGGAAAGCUUUUGCGGUGUGGGAUGGGCCCGCGGCCUAUCAGCUUGUUGGUGGGGUAAUGGCCUACCAAGGCGACGACGGGUAGCCGGGCUGAGAGGGUGACCGGUCACACUGGGACUGAGAUGCGGCCCGGACUCCUACGGGAGGCAGCAGUGGGGAAUAUUGCACAAUGGGCGCAAGCCUGAUGCAGCGACGCCGCGUGAGGGAUGACGGCCUUCGGGUUGUAAACCUCUUUCAGCUAUGACGAAGCGCAAGUGACGGUAGUAGCAGAAGAAGGACCGGCCAACUACGUGCCAGCCGCCGCAGUAA